CCGCCUCCAUCCCUCGCCUCCUCAUCCAGGCUCCAGCCCCGCUAGGAUCCCGCCCGCUCCUCCCGCUUCUUCCUCCAUCCUUCAUCUAGAGUGCCGGCCCGCCGGGGCUCCGCCUCCUCAUCCAUCCCAGCCCGUACUCAGCCUCCUCCGCCCGCCUCUUCCUCCUUUCCAUCAGUGGCAGUGGUGAGGAUAGGAGCAGCGUCUGUGGCUGGACACCAUGAGCUUCCAAGGUGGUCCAUGGUGAGGAACGGAUGUGCUCGACGUCUCCUUCAAUCCGUCUUUUUCGGGGGUACAAUCUGAUUUCUGCAAGGAAGGCGGCUCGGCGUGACCACCGUGCCAUGUCCAUGGUGCCACUGACCCUCCACCUGUCUCUUCUUCCGAAGUGAAGUGCCCAUCUCCCCUCUUCCCAGCCAGUUUUGCCUUGUCAUAGGAGGAAGAUGAGUUGGAGGUGCCUGCCUGCUACCUUGGAGCAAUGGGUGUGCCACCCAAUCAGCCAGUCGACGAUAGAUCCAGGUGGCGUAACAUUUGAGUUGCCCGUCCCAGUCCUUAGUUCACAUAUGCUGGAUGAGUUUAUUUGGCGCAAGGAGACUAGAUGAGUGCAGGGGGGAGAGAUGAGGUAGAUGCGAAAUCCCAACUCUUGCUCGUGCUGCUACGACCGUGGUGUUUCUUAUGUGUAGUUUUUUGUAGAGGUCUGGGCUCUAACAUAUUCUAUAGAUAUGUGAUGUUUCUUAUGUGCAGUUUUUUGCAUGUAUUUUAGUGAGAAAUGAAGUAUGCUUUAGAGAACAGAGAGAUAAAAAUGUCAUAUUCUUUUAUCAAAUAAAGAUCUGGCUCGGUGGCUCCUUAUUUUGCUUGUCGGGACCAAGAUCUCUAGCUAUCAAUGAACUUUCCAGAGUCGUUUUUGCUGGUCUGAAGUAUGGAAAUUUCUU